rnacentral:rRNA from 1 species
UACGUAGGGGGCAAGCGUUGUCCGGAUUUACUGGGCGUAAAGAGCGUGUAGGCGGCCAAGCAGGUCUGUUGUGAAAACUGGAGGCUUAACCUCCAGACGUCGACGGAAACCGCGUGGCUAGAGUCCGGAAGAGGAGAGUGGAAUUCCUGGUGUAGCGGUGAAAUGCGCAGAUAUCAGGAAGAACACCAAUGGCGAAGGCAGCUCUCUGGGACGGUACUGACGCUGAGACGCGAAAGCGUGGGGAGCGAACAGG